UACGUAGGGUGCAAGCGUUAUCCGGAAUUAUUGGGCGUAAAGAGCUCGUAGGCGGUUUGUCGCGUCUGCUGUGAAAACUGGAGGCUCAACCUCCAGCCUGCAGUGGGUACGGGCAGACUAGAGUGCGGUAGGGGAGAUUGGAAUUCCUGGUGUAGCGGUGGAAUUCGCAGAUAUCAGGAGGAACACCGAUGGCGAAGGCAGGUCUCUGGGCAUUAACUGACGCUGAGGAGCGAAAGCAUGGGGAGCGAACAGG
rnacentral:rRNA from 1 species